GCCGAGGUAGCUCAGUCGGUAGAGCACAGCACUGAAAAUGCUGGUGUCGCCAGUUCGAUUCUGGCCCUCGGCACCU
rnacentral:tRNA from 2 species